rnacentral:rRNA from 1 species
GACGAACGCUGGCGGCGUGCUUAUCACAUGCAAGUCGAGCGAUGAAGUUUCUUCGGAAAUGGAUUAGCGGCGAACGGGUGAGGAACACGUGAAGAAUCUGCCCUCCACUUUGGGAUAACACAGGGAAACCUGUGCUAAUACCGAAUAUUGAAACAUAAGUGGCAUCACUGAGUUUUGAAAGAAUUUCGGUGGAGGAUGACUUCGCGGCCUAUCAGCUAGUUGGUGAGGUAAUGGCUCACCAAGGCAACGACGGGUAGCCGGCCUGAGAGGGCGGACGGCCACACUGGGACUGGCACACGGCCCAGACUCCUACGGGAGGCAGCAGUGGGGAAUAUUGGGCAAUGGAGGAAACUCUGACCCAGCGACGCCGCGUGCGGGAUGAAGGCGUUCGGGUUGUAAACCGCUUUCAGUAGGGAAGAAGCGAAAGUGACGGUACCUACAAAAGAAGCACCGGCUAACUAUGUGCCAGCCGCCGCAGUAA